UCUAAUUGUUAAGCUAACGGCAUAAAACGUGAACUGCUGAGCGUAAAUUUGCUAUGUUACGCGUUUGUAAGACGGAGACAACAAAUGCGGGUGUAGCGUCCUCUAAAUAAUGAAUCCACUGAGUUAACUUCAAUUGAGGAUAGUGAUGGUCGUGGUCUCCCAUUUCAAGUUCCAAUUCAUAUUGAAGAACCCUUGAACAUACAGCAAUAUCACAAAAAUGAUGUAGGUUUAUUCAUACAAAAAAAUUCAAUUUCUGAUGAAGAUAAACAUCUUAUUCUAACUAACGUGUGGGUUCCUCCAUCUAACUAUAAAUUUCCCAUAAGUGAAAAAAACAAAAAACGUGGCUUGAGGUUUCAGUACAAGUUGCUUACAGAGUAUAAUUGGCUGUCAUAUUCUGAACUUAAAAAUGGAGCUUUCUGCAAACAUUGCGUAAUUUUUGCUAAAACUGGUGGAAUCAAUAGUCAGCCAUUAGGACAGCUUGUAAUUAAAGCCUUAAAUGAGUGGAAAAAUGCUAAGGAGGUAGUUGUAAUACGCACUUAUUGCAUGCUUUUUUAUUUAUAUGCCUUGGCGGUAUAUUGUACACCUAAUAUAUUUAUUAUUGUUUAUUUUCAUUUCAGAUUUUUCGUACCCAUUCACAAAGGAGCUUUUUGAGGAAAAUUUAUGGAAAUAAAAUUUUUGUAUUAAUGUAACUGUGUAUAGAAUUAUGUUUUAAAAAAAAAAACCUGUUAGGGAGGUGUGGGGGGCUUUGGCCUCCACUUUACGUUUAUCCAAUUAAUUAAAUAUCCCCCCCCAGAACCAAAUCAUAACUACGCCACUGUACCCCUUGCACACGUAUGUUAAUAUGAAUUUUUAUCAUUAUAUUUGUUUUGUGGUACAUUGUGCCCGUCUCUGAAAAUACGCAUUGAUAUCAUUAAUUUUAUAAAUUGCCUUGGGUACACAGUUAACCUAUUUUACCAGUUACAUCCCCGAUAGUCGUUGCCGCUAACCGCUACACCCGUAGGAUCGGUAACGGCGAAACAAUUAUAUAUAUAGUAUGAGAGAAUACGGAGCUUUUUAGGGCUCCGUAAACCACCCACGACAAAAGGGGAACACUUUUGUCGCGACCUGUGAGCCGCACCGCGUGAUGACCCAAGGGCCAAGUCGGUGGAACUCACAGGCUUUGUACACGCAACGGCAAAUGAAUGCCGAGGAUUUAUUAAAGGGGAAAAUAAUAUAAAAUAAUAAGAAUAAUGGUAUUAGGGUAAUCACGUGGGUAUAUUAAAUUGGCAUUAUAAGUUAGAGUUGAGAUUUGACAUUAUCAACAAUAAUAAUAUUACAGUUUAUAAGAGUAUAAUAAUUUUGGCAUAACAUGUGGUGAAGAUUUAACAUUAUGAAUAAUAAUAAUAUGACA